UACGGAGGGUGCAAACGUUGCUCGGAAUCAUUGGGCGUAAAGCGCACGUAGGCGGCCUGUUAAGUCGGGUGUGAAAGCCCUGGGCUCAACCCAGGAAGUGCACUCGAAACUGGCGGGCUUGAAUAUGGAAGAGGGUCGCGGAAUUCCCGGUGUAGAGGUGAAAUUCGUAGAUAUCGGGAGGAACACCAGUGGCGAAGGCGACUACCUGGCCUGUUCUUGACGCUGAGGCGCGAAAGCUAGGGGAGCAAACGGG
rnacentral:rRNA from 1 species